CGGACGGGUGAGUAACGCGUGAGAAUUUGCCUUUAGGAGGGGGACAACAGACAGAAAUGACUGCUAAUACCCCAUAUGCUUUCGAGUGAAAUGGAUUUUUCCGCCUAAAGAGAAGCUUGCGGCUGAUUAGCUUGUUGGUGAGGUAAUGGCUCACCAAGGCGACGAUCAGUAUCUGGUUUGAGAGGACGAUCAGACACACUGGAACUGAGACACGGUCCAGACUCCUACGGGAGGCAGCAGUGGGGAAUUUUCCGCAAUGGGCGAAAGCCUGACGGAGCAAUACCGCGUGAGGGAUGACGGCCUAUGGGUUGUAAACCUCUUUUUUCAGGGAGGAAUCAAAUGACGUGUACCUGAAGAAUAAGCAUCGGCUAACUCCGUGCCAGCAGCCGCGGUAAGACGGAGGAUGCAAGUGUUAUCCGGAAUCACUGGGCGUAAAGCGUCUGUAGGUGGUCCAAUAAGUCAACUGUUAAAUCUUGAGGCUCAACCUCAAAAUCGCAGUCGAAACUAUUAGACUAGAGUAUAGUAGGGGUAAAGGGAAUUUCCAGUGGAGCGGUGAAAUGCGUAGAGAUUGGAAAGAACACCGAUGGCGAAGGCACUUUACUGGGCUAUUACUAACACUCAGAGACGAAAGCUAGGGUAGCAAAUGGGAUUAGAUACCCCAGUAGUC
rnacentral:rRNA from 1 species